GACGAACGCUGGCGGCGUGCCUAACACAUGCAAGUCGAACGGGGUAGUUCCUUCGGGGACUACUUAGUGGCGAACGGGUGAGUAACGCGUGAGAAACCUGCCUUUCAGUGGGGGACAACAGUUGGAAACGACUGCUAAUACCGCAUAAUGUUUCGAGAGGGCAUCCUUUGAAACCAAAGCUUUAUGUGCUGAAAGAUGGUCUCGCGUCUGAAUUAGCUAGUUGGUGAGGUAACGGCUCACCAAGUCGACGAUCAGUAGCCGGUCUGAGAGGAUGGACGGCCACAUUGGGACUGAGAUACGGCCCAGACUCCUACGGAGGCAGCAGUGGGGAAUA
rnacentral:rRNA from 1 species